rnacentral:misc_RNA from 1 species
GGAAGAACCAAAUUGGCAGGCAAAAACCCAUUAUGUAACAGGCAAUAUGCCAUUUAAUGGGUGAUAUCCAAACCUUGAUCAAAAUAAUCAAAUGGAGAGAAAAGGGAUUUGUGCAUGUGAAAUUUAAGGCAUGCGGAUGUCAGAAACUGUAAUGUGGAUGGCAGACAGAUCCAGAAGUGGUAGUCCAAUAGGUGGCAACAAUUCUAUGGCAUCUUUUUAGUGCACCAACACUGAAUACAUAUCAGAAAAUUGUGAGUCUGCUGGU